UGAAAUCAAUCUACCAUCCCAAAAUAGACCCCCGUUGUAAAACUCCCCAUGUAACAAAUUUCUAAUGAAAUGGACGUUUACGUAUGCUCGACCUUUUACCUAGAAAGUUACUAUCUUACCUAGAAAGUUACUAUCUCUCUUUCCAUGUUUACUACCUAAAAAUUGUAUGUCAUGACACAAACUCUAGUUAGGAGCAAUUGAUUUUAAGGUUGCUGCAUUGGUUAAACUCAAGUUCAGGUCGCUUUUGUCAUG
rnacentral:lncRNA from 1 species